UGCUAUGGCAGCCGCGGCCUAAGCUGCGGAGGGCGAGCGCACGCCUCCACGCGUAACGGCUUUCUCGCCGUGGGGAGGGAUAGGGGCUCAAAACGCAUCGCCGGGGAGGAGAACCGGGGGACCGCCGAGGCCUGCCUGUAUGUGUUGCCGGCGGCAGCCUGAGGGAGGGGUCCCAAUUGGGACAACGGUCGCGUCACUUGGCGGGGGGGUGGCAGAAGCAGAAUGUCAAUAAUGUGCAGAUGCUGUAGAGAACAUGUUCCAUCUUUGACUCUCCACUGGCAUCCCAGAAUGCUGCUAGAAGUAGAAGCAGCCACCAGACUCCUGCAGUCACAGGGCCCAUUUGUGGAAUGACUUCCCAUCUGAUGCAACAGUAAUCUCAUUUAGGCAUCUAAUGCAAUUCCUCAGCUUGAUAAUGAAGCCACAGAUGAGGGCUGUGAGCUGUGUAAGAGAAUGGAGAAAUGAAGUAACUGAAGACUCAUGAAGAGACCUUCCAAAAUCCUCAUGCCAGAGUUUGGCAAAAGACAACAUCCCGUCGGUACUGAAGGCUCAAGCAAAGAGCUAUUGUAGGGGCACUAUCUUGCAUCAAGAGAAAGACCAUCGCUUUCUUUGCCUUGUCACUCAUCAUGGCUACGCAGUCUGUGAGUGUUGUCAGCAAUGGGUAAAGGGCCUCACUCCAUUCACCUGCAGUUUUCAAAAGGAAGGAGGAGGCAAUUAAUGGCAAUACUCUAUAGAAUUUUUAAAAAUAAAAAUACCAUACUCAAAAAGAAACCGCUUUUAAGAAACAUACGAACGCAACUUAAAGGCCUGGUGUGGAUUUAAGGCUGCCUAUAUCUUAAGCCAUGUUUGAGUCAUUGGAAGCAGGCCCAUGGCUCAUGCAAGCUUUUACUCUCCAUUGUCUGAACUGGCUGUAGUGCAACAUUACAUCUAUGCCAAUGCUAACCAAGAUUAGAUUUUAACCACUUUGAAAUCAGGAUUUGAAACUGAUUUGCAAAACCUGUUUAAAGCUAACCUUGGUAAGUCAUGUGCCUAUGUAAUGCUACACCAUGUGUAAGAGACAGUUGGGGGAAUUUGCAUAAAAGAAGAGAGUUAAACUUAGUUCUAGAGAAUAGUUGCAUCCACACUGGGACAAAGUAGAAGAGUCUUAUUGCCAUAAAUUGAACCCACUGGCCCUGUUAGAAUGUAACAGUAAGCCAUUGUCUGAAAUAACCUAUGGUUUAUUAUGAAUGUGCAGCAUUCUGGUACAAGUUGCUCAGCUCGAAGCAAGUACUCUCUGUUCUUUGACAGCCAUUCAAAUGAAGGGCAGUUAUGGAAAGUUGUUUUUAGAAUACCAUAAAGUACUGUGGUAUCUUAAACCUGUGUCCCAUCCUACACACACACACACCGAGAGAGAGAGAGAGAGAGGAGAGAGAGAGAGAGAGAGAGAGAAAGUUAUUUGGCCCUAUGCCUCAGAACACAGCUGGAUUCUUUUAACAGUAGGAAAGCUGCCUUUUAUGAUAGUUUUUCCAAAAUAAUCUGGUACUCUAAAUAAGAUUAUCUAUGCAAUGAAAAAUAAAGGUUGUUCUAUUGAUGUAUUUGCUCUGAAGUGCUUUUUAUAGACAAUUUUUUUUAAAAAGGAACAAUGGAUAGUUUCUCUGGCACAGCCAUUUUCAGGGUAUAGAAAUUACAAAACAAAUAGCCAAGCUAAAAAGACAAAAACUCAAAAUAAUUAUUUUAAGUAUUCAGUUUAUACAGUGGAAACAAAUGGAAACUUAAAAAACAAUUACACACAAAAACUAACACAUUCUAAUUCUUUUUAUAUAAAAAAAACCACAUUAAGAGAAUUCUGGCCCCUACUCCCCACAAGUUCUGUAAUAUGCUAUCAAGUGGCUCAUGUCUCUUCUUUCAAGAUCAGCCAGCAUGGCACAAGGGAUAAUGUGUUGGGUUUAGAUAGCCAGGUUCAAAUUCUGACUUAGUCUAGGGCAAGUCACAUCCUUCUAGCCUCAUCUGCUUCCCAGCAUUAAUUUAAAGGGGGGAAACCAAACAAGCAUUACUCAGCAUUUUGUACCCACCCAGUAAAGAACCACAGAACACACACACACACACACACCAAAAUGGAAGGCGGUUCAAUGUAGCCUCUGACCAAAUGGGUUUAAACCAGUUUUACCAGCACUCUGCAUACAUACACAAAAAGAGGCAACAUCUGUUUUAACUAGACAGUAGCAGCUACAUAUGACUGCCUUCCAGCAUAUUUUUUAAAAUGUCUUCCUGUCACAUAAUUACUGUGUGUUAAAAUUUAUUGGCAAGGAAGGCCAGUUUGCACCUACUAACCUAACAGCAUACUUCUAUUCACGUAGCAGUACAGUACCCAAAUUAGCAUCAGCAAAAGUCAUUUGUGUUAGAUGCACAGAAAACCUUUUUUUCUUCUGCAGUUUUCAGAAGCAAAUACUGUGAAUGGAGGGGAGAAAACACACACAUACCUGGGCCAGACUCUUCAGGAGUAGGACUGCAAUCUGCACAAAAAUGGAGGUGCAACAUGCAUGAUUAAGGGGAAGCAACACAUUUUAAACAUAGGCAACUGAAAUGCUUAGUACAGAAGUUCUCAAACAAUCUUUUGCAAAGUGGCACAUCACAGACAAACUGUACCACUGAUCACCUCUCCUCCUGAUUGUGCCAGCAUAAAAUACUCCAGCUUGGUACAACAAGCUGUUACAAAUUAUUUCUAGCACUAGGAGGAGAAGUGAACACAACAACAGGAGAAAAAAUCGAUCUCUGUAUCUGCUGGAAACAGCUGUAUGUGAGCCACAGACAACACAGUUUGAGAACCACUAGCUUAAUGACUUGCAUUAAAAGCAGCUAAAUAGAAUAGCAGAACACUGGCAAGAGUUUUAGGGUGCAUUAAGUAACCCUAAUACGCACAUGUGGCAUUUUUAGGUGUACACCUAAGAUACUUUACAUGUGCACACUGUAAAGUGUGAAUAUGACAAACUUGUUUAUAAAAAUAUAUACAGUAUGUGCAUUUGCAGACACCAAGGAACACAGACUAGGUCAUAUUUUUAGGAGCCAGAGUGCCCAAAAUUAAGGCUGGAUCCAAUUCCCACUGAAAUGAAUGGAAGAGAUGCUAUCAACUAGAACUGGAAGAUCAUGUCUCACAGAUUAUUUUGCCAAGCACACAACAGGGCAUUAUGAACAAAUGUUAGUUUUGUUCCGCCAUUUCCUCCCACCAAAACCACAAGGCGCCUUUUAAGAUUCCCCCUCCCCCCAUUUAAAACAGUUUGGGGCUUUGGAAAAGAAGAAAGGGAAGCUGCCUCUUGGGCAUUCACUUUCAGCCAUUCUCAUACCAAGCUAACUUUUUAAACAGCAGUUAGAGGGAAACUAAUGAAUGAAGGGAUGCUACCAGAAACUGCAUGUGUUGAAGUUGUACAAACACUUAUGUUUGAACUGUACCAAGCUGGUCCUGGGUGAACUGAGACAUGUUCUCUAAGAGUACUCAUCUGAGAGCACUAUUCUUCCAUUUCCUCUCUUUGGCUCCUUGUAUUUCUCCAGACCUAUUUAUAACACGGGUAUAGGAUUCACUCACAUGACAACUAGAUUUCUUAAACAAAGCAUCUCUUUUCACAAGCAUUAUUUAUCUCAUACUUCUUCCAUUCAAGUCAGAAGGCAAUUUGCUGUAACCAACGUCUUUUUCAAUCUGCACUGGCUUUCUUUCAAAUUAUAAUAUGCUCUCCAUCUAAUCACAUGGCCAAAACUCAAAUCAGAACAGACUACGAUCAUUGCGAUUUCCCUCAUUUACUACUCUUUAAAUUGGCUGACUACCUGUCUCAUUUCACAUUUCAAAUAUAAGUCACUUCAUCAUUUUUCAGUCACUACAUGUGCUUUCUUUUCUCUCUCUCUUUCUACUCUGAUCCAUUGUCAUUCCCUGGGCCUAGCUCAUUCUUCAGGCUACGUCUUUAAACUAUAAGCUAUUGCCAGGGACUAGGUUUGUUUUUAACUUGUAUAGUGUCUAGCACAUCAGGCAUGCUAUAAAUAAUAAAGUUAAAAACAUCCUGUUUUUAACACGUUCCACAUGAAGCCGUUCUAGCAUCUCAAUAUGCAGAUUAAACUACUUGGAAUUGAAAACAGUGCACCUCUGUGCAUGUAAACAUAAAAGUGAUGAUGCACAGCUUGAGUUGAGCACAACGGCAAGCAUUGAAACAUGUUGAUCCAUAAUUUCAAUGGUUCUCAGCCAAUACAUUAUCAGAAAACAUUAGAUGAAUUGAGAGAGAAUGUUUGCCACAUACAAAAAAUUAUACAGUGCUGGGCUGUAUAGAUACUGGCUGCAUUGAGUGAAAUCCAUUUCUUAAUCACUCUGAUGUGAAAGUUCUUUAACAAUUACUUGAUUCAGACAAUAUAUCUUCCCCACACAUAUUUUCACACAGCUUAUUAGAAAAAGAAGUUUAAGAUUUAAAUUCAAUCUGCAAACAGUUGAAAGAUAACAUGAAAACCAAUGCCUAAGUUAUUUCAUAGAGAUCAAUACACUCAGUUCUUCAUCCUUGUAUCUUGCUAAUUCUUAACAACAUAUGGAAUGAAUAACUAGAAACACAGAAAAGCAAUAGGUCACGAAGCUUGACAAAUCAUACACAACUAGUUCUGCACCUAAUAAGUUAAAAGAAAAAAAUAUUUCAUGAGACAGCAUUUUACUCUGUUAAAAAUAUUGUACCUCAGAAAUAUUAAUUAUGAAAUGACUGUGUGAAAUCACAAAUACAAAUUUGUUGUGAAUACACAUAAUGAAAAUACAGUAUGAGAAUGGUAGUUUUCAGUUGCCUUCUCAUACGAAUUUUUGUAUUAAUUGUUUUGAAAUGUCAUAUAAGAACGCAGACUGUUCUCAGUCCUCUAAGAAAGAAACUAUUGAGUUCUAACAUAUCCUUCAAUGUAACACAACAAAGAAUUUGGUAGGGCAGCUCUACACACUGUGAUCAGCAUGGGGUGGGGUGGAGGAAACAGUUACACAUUUGUUACAGAAACACAGGUGUAACACAUAGACAUCACACACGUGUAUACUU